CAGAGAGAACGAAGGAAAGAAAAUGAAAAUGGAGAUUUUGAUUAAAAUUCUUCCAAAAUUCAUAACUUGAGCUAGAGACCUCCAAAUCACUCCGUUCCAAAGCCAAACCUGUAAAAAAUUUCGAGAGGAAUCUAUUGGUACCAGUAUUUCUGAGUGGGGUUCACUGUAGAGAGAGAUCUUCUCCCCCAAAGAAUUCGAAUUUCAUGGAAAAUAUGGGUUUUGAUGGAGCUUGAAGCCAUGGGAGCUUGAAGCAAGCUUCUCCCUUCAUUCUAGGUGUACCUAGGGACUGUGAACGUUUGGAUUCUCGUGGAGUAUGAUAAGUAGCUUGUUCUUCAAGUAAGCAGAUUGUAAAGCUCAAAGAGGAACACAGUUAAUUGAAGAGCCUCAUGGGACAAGGACACUAACCGUGGCUAGAGGUACUAGUAUGAGGAUGUGGAGUUCUGGGUGGUCGGAUGCUACUAUUUGUUUUAGACGUAUUUUUGGAAAAGAUGUAUUGUUGCAUAGUGUUCAUAUUCGAUACAUGUACAUUUAUGUAUUCAGGCAUGAUGAUAUGACUAUGUAGUAUUCAGUUAUGUUAUGUAUUGGAUUGCAUGCUAUUAGAUUUGUGGCACGGAGCCAAGUUCAGCAUGCGCCCAUAGAUGGGUAUCUGAGUAUAUUUGCAUGACUGGUACUU